CGGCCUCCCAAAGUGCUGGGAUUACAGGCGUGAGGCACCUUGCCUGGCCGAAACAAAAUUUUUGACGUCUCUUAAACUUUCACCAUGGAUUGUGCACUUGAACAAGGAUAUAAGAGUGUGUUUGAAUUCGAACCAAUCAAAAUAAGUUCAGCAUUUUCUCUUCUGUCCGGUUAUCUAUUUAUUACCUCUUAGCUGCAAAAUCACUUUUCCUUGCGCGGUAACAAUGGAAUGGAGGGGGGCCCUUUAAAUAUUUUCUUUCGCAGUUAGCUCAAUGUUACGUUUUGUCAAUAGAGGGCGAUGGAGAGACAUUGCUGGAGGAAACAAUCUCGCGUUAGUGUGCACAAUGGCCGGGCUCUCGCAGCCUGAGCAGUUUCUCUAGUAGGAACCUCCUGCAGUGCACGGUGGCCAGCAGUACUUUGGGGAACCUCCUUUAGAGCAUCUCUGGAUUGUACUGGUAAAGCCAUGUUCCAACCGCUGUGACAGUUGUUUGAAGAAACGCUUCAGGAUCCUGAUCCCACUUGUUUAAAUUUUCCAUUGAAUGCUAUCGUCUUGUUUACAACCAACCUGGAUGCAAUGGUUUGGAUACCCGUCAAGUGGAAUGUCUGCUCAACUUUAAUUCUUAAGUCAGAAUUGUGUAAGCUGAAUCAAUUGAGAUGUCUAUGAUGUUGGCUAUCAUUUCUGCUGUUAAUUGUCAUUCUUUUUCAAUUAGUGUAUAAACAAGAUGAAUUUA